AAAGUCGUAACAAGGUUUCCGUAGGUGAACCUGCGGAAGGAUCAUUAACGAAGUUUAAUUGGAGUUGUAGCUGGCUGCUUUGGCAGUAUGUGCUCGCUUCAUUUCUUCAUUUCCACUUGUGCACCUUUGUAGGCUAUGUUAACUCUCGUGCGUUGGGCUUUUUUUCAAGUCCUUCGUCGGAUUUCAGGAGGCUUGGUUGUCCUUUCAUUAGGUUUCCAUCCACUUGUUCUUCAUAGUUCCUAUGUCUUAUACACUCUUUAAUAACCUAGAAUGUCUUUUGUGGGUCUUGUACCUAUAAACUUAUACAACUUUUAACAACGGAUCUCUUGGCUCUC
rnacentral:misc_RNA from 1 species